GAUGAACGCUGGCGGCGUGCUUAACACAUGCAAGUCGAACGGUGAAGGCGGAGCUUGCUCUGCUGGAUCAGUGGCGAACGGGUGAGUAACACGUGAGCAAUCUGCCCCUGACUCUGGGAUAAGCGCUGGAAACGGCGUCUAAUACCGGAUACGAGCUGCGAAGGCAUCUUCAGCAGCUGGAAAGAAUUUCGGUCAGGGAUGAGCUCGCGGCCUAUCAGCUUGUUGGUGAGGUAAUGGCUCACCAAGGCGUCGACGGGUAGCCGGCCUGAGAGGGUGACCGGCCACACUGGGACUGAGACACGGCCCAGACUCCUACGGGAGGCAGCAGUGGGGAAUAUUGCACAAUGGGCGAAAGCCUGAUGCAGCAACGCCGCGUGAGGGACGACGGCCUUCGGGUUGUAAACCUCUUUUAGCAGGGAAGAAGCGAAAGUGACGGUACCUGCAGAAAAAGCGCCGGCUAACUACGUG
rnacentral:rRNA from 1 species